GAUGAAGGAACGUAGCGAAAUGCGAUAAGUAAUGUGAAUUGCAGAAUUCAGUGAAUCAUCGAAUCUUUGAACGCACAUUGCGCCCCUUGGUAUUCCGAGGGGCAUGCCUGUUCGAGCGUCAUUUUGACCACUCCCGCUUGCGGGGUCUUGGGCCUUCGCCUCUGGGCGGGCCUUAAAAUCAGUGGCGGUGCCGUCCGGCUCUAAGCGUAGUAAAUCUCCUCGCUAUAGGGUUCCGGAGGGAUGCUGGCCAACAACCCCCAACUUUUAAGGUUGACCUCGGAUCAGGUAGGGAUACCCGCUGAACUUAAGCAUAUCAAUAAGCGGAGGA
rnacentral:misc_RNA from 1 species